GGGAGCUUGCUUCCUCAAUCGAGUGGCGAACGGGUGAGUAACGCGUGAGGAACCUGCCUCAAAGAGGGGGACAACAGUUGGAAACGACUGCUAAUACCGCAUAAGGCCACGACCCGGCAUCGGGAAGAGGGAAAAGGAGCAAUCCGCUUUGAGAUGGCCUCGCGUCCGAUUAGCUAGUUGGUGAGGUAACGGCCCACCAAGGCGACGAUCGGUAGCCGGACUGAGAGGUUGAACGGCCACAUUGGGACUGAGACACGGCCCAGACUCCUACGGGAGGCAGCAGUGGGGAAUAUUGCACAAUGGGGGAAACCCUGAUGCAGCGACGCCGCGUGGAGGAAGAAGGUCUUCGGAUUGUAAACUCCUGUUGUUGAGGAAGAUAAUGACGGUACUCAACAAGGAAGUGACGGCUAACUACGUGCCAGCAGCCGCGGUAAAACGUAGGUCACAAGCGUUGUCCGGAAUUACUGGGUGUAAAGGGAGCGCAGGCGGGCGAUCAAGUUGGAAGUGAAAUCCAUGGGCUCAACCCAUGAACUGCUUUCAAAACUGGUCGUCUUGAGUAGUGCAGAGGUAGGCGGAAUUCCCGGUGUAGCGGUGGAAUGCGUAGAUAUCGGGAGGAACACCAGUGGCGAAGGCGGCCUACUGGGCACCAACUGACGCUGAGGCUCGAAAGUGUGGGUAGCAAACAGGAUUAGAUACCCUGGUAGUCCACACCGUAAACGAUGAUUACUAGGUGUUGGGAGAUUGACCCUCUCAGUGCCGCAGUUAACACAAUAAGUAAUCCACCUGGGGAGUA
rnacentral:rRNA from 1 species